UCUCCACCUCUCCCUUGCGCACUUCUUUCCAUGACCAAGUCUGCAUAUAAUACUUUGCUCACUCAUUCUUUUCAUGAGACAUUUGUGAUUUGAGCUUCAAGAGACUUUGUGGGAUACUUCUCCCCUCUUCCUAUUGCAAUAGCCUUCUUGAUAUGUUUUCAUGUUCAUGUCUAGACUGGAUUUUUUUUCCUGCCGCAGUAAGGAUGCCACAAUUUGAACAGAAUUUUGACUACACCUCAACUGCUGUUUCUCUACAACGUGCUGUGAUUUGGACAGAAUGCUGGCUUCCCUCCUGCUCUCCUUGCCCAAGUGAUAAUGCCAUCGUGUUGAACUCUUUGAAGCCUGUCUUGAAAAGCAAAAUCCACAAUGGGGAGUUUCUCCACAGAGCCUACAGUCCUGAGACAGCAUCAGAGAAAGACACACACUGAAACCAGCUUACUACUGUCUGGAUAACUGAUUGGAAUGGCGUCCAGUUUCCAGGAUCAUGAGACAGGUUCUCCAACGUCAAAUCCAUACAGACAAGCAUCAUGGCUCCUGCACAAUGCCUUGUGUAUAAAUAAGCCCGGAGACUGUGGACAAGUGUCAGCACCUGUUCUUUGCAUAGUCCAGUUCUAAGAGGCCUGGAAACAAGGUGGAUAGCAGAAGAAAGAGCCUCAUAUCCAAGUCAAGAGGAUCAGUUGGCAUCUGAGCCUCAAGGGGAACAUGCAAGUCAGUUUUGUGUCUAACCCAGAGAAUAAUGAUGUGGACUAUACAACAACAUCAACAAACUUCACAGUAAACUUCUAACCACCUGCAGGGCUAGAUGUUAAUCUCCAAUGCAAAUAUACUGCUAUACAAUCGGCACUUUAAAAUUCCGUUCUCCUAAGUUUACAGAUAAAUUAUAUAGAUUUUCUUAAUGACUACGAACCACACAUAGAAUCAUGAAUUCAUGAAAAUAACAAAAACACUUGGGGGAGAACGGGGAAAACGAGUAUGGACUUCUCCUGGCUGACACAGAAAAUUCAAUACGAGGCUGAAACAACGGUGAGCUGUAGAUGCCAAGGGAUAUUUGAGAAGGAUGCGAGAAUGGUUGUUGUUUUUAUUUUUGCCAUAACUAGGGUGAGGAUUAGGGUUGACGCUACUGAUUUCUAGCUGAUAGCAGUCAAAGAGAAUGCGAAAUACCCUACACAGUGCAGUACAGGACUCAUAAUAAAGAAUUUUCGAGCCCAAUAUGAUAAUACUGCGAAUAUUUAGAAAUUUUGAGCAGUGAGUAUAAAAAUUGUGCUGCAGAUAUGGAGCUAACAGAGAAAUCAUGUAACGUGCUGGAAAGUCUUAGCAGAGACUCUGACAUAUGGAAAAUAUGUCAUAAAAUAAAGAUGUCUAGUUGUGGGUUUUUAUAUAUAAACAUGUAUAUAUGUGCAUAUUACAAAACAGUAAUAACUAGAAAAGGAGGAGGAUAUGGAUUUAAGAGAGAGCUAUGACGGAAACACUGGAGAAGGUGAAAGAGGACUGGGAGGGUGGAGAUGAUGAAGAUGUAGUAUGUUUGUGUACAAAAUCCUCAAAGAAAAGUCCCACCAGUUUGAUAGAUCAUUUAAUAAAGACUAGCCAACGAACAAAUAGAUUGAAAGGAGUAGAGCUACGUAUUUUACACAAAAACAGAUUCAAUACUUUGAUGAAAUAAACCCAAAAGUGCAAGGUGAAACUGCUUAGCCUUGAAUGGAGAAGCUUCUAAAUGGAGAAGCAUCUAGAGAUGCUGAUGCCAUGCACAGCUUUAAGAUCCAUUUCUGCUCCCUGUUACUGAGCUCCAGUUAGUGGGAAGAGGGGAUGGAGAGCAAUACUCUCAUUGCCCAGUGGACAGCAAGUGUCAGUCCCUGGGAGGCUGGCUUAUUCCUGCAGAAAAUAAAAGACCACAUUAAGUGAGAUUCUGAAUAAAAAAUAACAAAUAAGUAAAUUUAUUAAUUAAAUUAUUAUUUUUUUAAAAAAAUCAGUGCUUAUUUCAUUACUUAGUCUGUGUUUUCCAAAUAAAGACAGGUGUCUGGUCCACGCAUAUGUUUCUUUCUCUGCUUGGGACUAGAAAACUAUGUUCUGGAGUUUGUGCCUACUUAGAGUCUCUCUUGAAGACAAAAAUAAAUUCAACCAUCUCAGUUAUUUUCUAAGACAAUGGUUUCCUUUGAUAAGACUGCUAAGUCCCUCCAUUUAUUUGACAGGUCUCUGGAGACAUGGCAGGGGUUGCACAUAUCUGUCUUCAAACAGUAAAAUACAGAAUUGUCUUUGAAGAUACUUAGUUCCAAGGAACUAUGUUUAACCAACUAGGUUGUGAGUGUGUUCAUCAAAGCUCUUCAUAAUCUACUGCAUUUUGUUCACUUAUGAUCUUGGCAAAGAAGUCCAUGUGGACCUAUAGCCUUUUUAGGAUAUCGAGUAUGAGCCCAUCCAGUUCCCAGAAGCUCGGAUAUCAUGGACAGUCUUGUACAUGAAGAGGCAAUAGUUGAUGUGAGGAUGGGGGCUCAAAAACGAUAAAAAGAGGGGAAGCAACAGCAGCUUAUGCACCAAACAUAAAAGAGACAGGAUGUCACACUAGACAACACCCUACUGUUUCUCAGAGAACCUUAAAAAAAAAAAACUACCAUAGGGCAUAAACUGCAACUUUUAGGCUACUAACUGACAAAUGUCACGUAAUCUUUCUGUGAAAAGAUCUCCCAGCCAACUCCAUCUGCAAUUUCAUCAUUAAAUAUUCACAUUUUUUCACAAAAUUUCGCCUUCCUUGGUGUCAUUUAAUUUUUCACGUAAUUCUGCCUGAGAUUCCUAACCAUUCCCAUAAAGAGGUGUGGAGGGCUUACAAGGCAGUACAGCAUAAGAUGGUUGCAUGUGUCCCAUCCCCACCCUAGGAUAAAAGAGGUUGCUAUGUGCUGUAGGUUGCAAUGUACACCAGUAGACUUUAAGUUACCUGCCCAUUAGGGCAUGGCCUCUUAUACCAUACAUGCCGAUGUAAAGCAACA